rnacentral:piRNA from 1 species
AGAUUUGCCAUUGGUGCUAAGGAGGA